rfam:Picea glauca, whole genome shotgun sequence.
UCUUAUGUACAUACCUACAACAUAGCGUUAAUGCAUCGAAUCCCAUUAGAACUCCGUAGUUAAGUGUGCUCGGGCCAUAGUAAUAUUGGGAUGUGUGACCGCCCGAGAAGUCCUAGUAUUUUACAUGCC